rnacentral:tRNA from 1 species
CCGCCACUAGCUCAGUGGGUCAGAGCCGGUGACAGGUAAGUUGCAGGUGCGGGGUUCGAGGCCCCGGUGGCGGACCA